UCUGGCUCUGCCUUACUCUUCAGUUAUUAGGCUGCGGUGUGGAACCUGAAGAGACUAUGCAACCCAAAACUGCCACAGAGAGUUACACAGCUUUUUCUGUGUUCUGUUGCCUCCCAGCAACUAAUUUACAUCACAAUACAUUUGAAUCUGUAUUGCAUGCAUGACAAUCUUAUUAACAUCCUAUUCUCUUGUGUGCUACAGUAUCUUUCCUAUACAUGCUGGAGGAAAUAUUGCUCAUUUGGAUUUUUGAAGAGAAAGACAUUUUAAGGACACUGAAAGAGGUACAAGGCCAUGGAAGCUCACAAAUAGUGCUGGUGCAUGGAUCUAAGGAAGGCUGGCAGGCAGUAGUUCCCUCUUUGGAAAACCAGGGAAAAGGCAGCAAUCCAGGAACUGAAGGGAGACAUAUACAAGAGAUUCUGAGGGAAGAAGGAAGAACGGGGAAUCCACAGUUCAACUCAAUCCUACUCCACAGCCCUCUGGAGAACACAGAAAUAGCACUGUCACCCUGGGCCACGGAGCCUGACCUCAAAAGGGAGAUGAAAGAAUGAACAUGCUUAAGUUCUUAAGGUGCUGAAAUAAUACAACAUUAAGAUCUAACUAUGGAGGUACUUGUUCCUUUCCUUCCUGGGCAGAGGCAUGGAUGGUGUAAUUCUUUUAUUAUAA